CCUGGCCUAGGCAUUUUCUUUAUUCUCCUCCCAAAAUGGGUAUCAAGAUUACAAGAUGUGUGUGCUGUAUGAAAAAAAAUCAAGAAAAUUUGUUAUAAAACAUGGAGAUUAACUUAAUCUAGAGUUUACACUGAGUACUUCAAUGUUGUUGUCUAUUCACACGAGCAGUCCACAAGAACAACGGGAGUGGUGCAGGGCCAGCCUUGGGUAAUAAAGAGCCUUAUGAGGAUCUGUAAGACUGAAAACUUACCAACAAUCUUGAUUACUUUGUGGCUGAAUUAAGAUCUUCAUAUCUGAGAUUUCUAGAGUGACCUCAAUGUUUUCCAAUAAAAUUAACACUGAAGGAAUUAAACGUAUUGGUCACGCACUUAAAAGAAAACUGACCUUCUACCUUGUGCCAAGAUUACUAACAUUCAGCUUGUUUUUGCUUAGCCCUCUAGACAAACAUACAUCUUCCUUCGAGCUGUCCAAAGCUAGACAAAAGACAAGUACAAGAGUAGAAACCAAAUUAACAAAGUCUCCCUAGUUGCUAAGCAUCACUUCCUUUUUCCUUUGCUCAAUAUGGAAAGUCUUAUUACUUAAUAACCAUUAUGGCAUACUGUUUCAGGACUUGAGCUAAUUUCUCCAAAUGGUCAUUACUCAUGGCAUUUGUCCUAAUAUUACCACUGGCUUGAUUUCUACUUUUACCAUAUUUCUUCAAAAGACUGGUUAACACAGCAAGCACUGAAGUAAUACAGGCUGAAACAAUACAUUUAUGUAAUAAGAAUUCAACCUAAGAUGCUUCACAAAGCCAGGCGUGUGU